rnacentral:ncRNA from 1 species
AGCGAUGCAAUGACAGGAAUCCAGUAGUUAAUCCGUCCCUGUUUUAGAGAGCCGGUGGUUUGGUGUGAACCGGCACAAACGGUUUAAUGAAUUACCUCCUGUAGCAGCAUUCGUGAAGGCUUUGCCCCCGAGGGCAGGCUGUGUAGCGUAUGCCGGUUCCUUACCGUUAUAAGGAAUUAAGCGGCGGGAAAAUGUGAUUUAUCCCGCAAGUUGGGUGGUACCGCGAUUUAUUCGUCCCUUCA